GGGUUGGCUCAGUGGUUAGAGCGUAGGUUCCGUAACCGAAAGGUCGCGGGAUCGAAUCCCGCUAGAGGCUG
rnacentral:tRNA from 1 species